GUAACAGGAAGCAGCUUGCUGCUUCGCUGACGAGUGGCGGACGGGUGAGUAAUGUCUGGGAAACUGCCUGAUGGAGGGGGAUAACUACUGGAAACGGUGGCUAAUACCGCAUAACGUCGCAAGACCAAAGAGGGGGACCUUCGGGCCUCUUGCCAUCAGAUGUGCCCAGAUGGGAUUAGCUUGUUGGUGAGGUAACGGCUCACCAAGGCGACGAUCCCUAGCUGGUCUGAGAGGAUGACCAGCCACACUGGAACUGAGACACGGUCCAGACUCCUACGGGAGGCAGCAGUGGGGAAUAUUGCACAAUGGGCGCAAGCCUGAUGCAGCCAUGCCGCGUGUAUGAAGAAGGCCUUCGGGUUGUAAAGUACUUUCAGCGGGGAGG
rnacentral:rRNA from 1 species